CACUGUCUGAGGAAGCGCAGAAAAAGGCAACAUGGUGAAAGCAGCAGGCUUGGGAAAAGACCUGUGAAACAGCACUAUGUUACUGAUAUCUGCUGCAAAGAAUACAGAAACUUGGACUCCAACAAAGAAGUUAAUUCUUAACUUUUCCUCAGUUUUAAUCACUAUCAGGAACAGAGUAUCACACUGUAUUUCAUGAAGGUUACUGAGGAUGUUCCUUAAAAGUGAAGAAUAAGAAGAGAAACAACAUGCCAACACCUCCU